rnacentral:lncRNA from 1 species
ACGUAUACAUAUGUAACUAACCUGCACAUUGUGCACAUGUACCCUAAAACUUAAAGUAUAAUAAUAAUUAAAAAAACCAAUAGUUUAUGAAACCCCCCCCAAAAAAAAUAUAUGCCAGUGGCCUCCAGUUGCCCACCAGGUAGCAUCCACAUUCUUUAAUGGAAAGCCCUUCCUUGCUUCGAACUUGCCAACUGGGAUUGGACAUUUGUAGUUGCAUUUCUAAGAACUGUUCCCUUUUGUCAAUGGAGCCUGAUUUCCACUUGGAUAUCUGGGUGAUUUAGGGAAACUGACCUCAAAACCCAAUUCUACAUUUCGACCAUGUGACCUUGGCUUAAUCAAUUCACGCAUCUUUUUCCCUCACCUCAGGGGAUGAUCAUAUGAACUAAGCCAGUUGCAAUAGAGUAAACCUCAUGUUCCUAAUGAGAAAUCCAGAACAAAAUGCUUUAUUUUUCUUCAAUUUUUUAUUAGGUCAUCUCCUGAAUCAAUUAAAAAAAAAACCAACAGUGACAACAAAACUAAAAAAUAUGAAGAAGCUGAAACAUGAAAGCUCUGCCAACUGCAAUAUGUAGCUGCUAAGGUUGCUGUAUUUAUUGGAAUCAAGCAAGUGUUCCAGUAAAGAGCACAGAAGAUGUGUCUGGGAGCCUUUAUGUAUAACACUAACAAAGUUGACCUUAGAAUUGGAGUGCCUGGGUUAGAACCCUGCUGGUACCACCUGCUUACUGCAUGCUUCUGAUGUGAGUUCAGGAGAAGACACUGGCAAGGACAGCAAAGAACAGGAGAACACUCUAGCUUCCCUGAUAGCAUUCAAGGUGCUGUCCAAACUGACUGUGAUGGCACCCUCCAGACAGACAGCGAUGCCACAUGUUCAAGAUGGCAGAAUCACUAUCAGCUUCAAUUCCUGAAUGACUGCAGAGCAAAAUUUCUUACCUGCAACAUACACUCUAUUUUCAGCCUCCCUGGACUGUUACAUAAUGAUACAUAAAAAUAUUUCUUGUGUUGAGGCAUCCCAAAUUUGAUUUAUUUGUCAUCACAGUCUAUCCUAUGAAUAUAUUUCUGAUCCAAAUAAUGCUAGAUUCAUGAGAGUUUAUAGUCCAGAGAUUUUUUUUUUUUUUUUGAGACAGAAUCUGUCUCCCAGGCUGGGGUGCAGUGGCAUAAUCUUAGCUCACUGCAACCUCUGCCUCCCGGGCUCAAGUGAUCCUCCCUCCUUAGCCUCCAUGAGUAGCUGGGACCACAGGUGUGCACCACCACACCCCGCUAAUUAUUUUGUAUUUUUUGCAGAGGGGGGUUUCACCACAUUGCCCAAGCUGGUCUCAAACUCCUAGACUUAAGGGAUCUGCCUGCCUUGGCCUCCCAAAAUGCUGAAAUUACACUUGUUAGCCAUAGUAAUAGUUCCUAGCCAUAGUCCGGAGAUAUUUUAAAAACUUUAGUGUGAGUUAUUUCUCUUUGCUAUAAUUCUCUCAUGCAUUUUGAAAACCUUUUCUGCCAUACAGUGGUUUUUGGGAAGUCCUUUUGGACAGACAUAUCACAGGAUGGAGAAACUAAAAAGAGAGAAUGCAUUAAAGAAAAAAUAGUACUUCGUAUUUCAGAAAUUACAAAAGGGUGUCAUGCCCCACAGCAUGGUGGGCAGUCAUUUGUAACCCACAGAACAUUGAGUUUCUAAAAUUUGAGUGUUUUUAACUUACGAAGGCCAACUUUACUGAUGAAGUGAUUACCCCAAAUAUGUGAAAUCCAUAUUUCAAGUACAAUAGUAGGAAAUUGGAAAUGGGCUCUUGAGUUUCUGCUUUCAAGUGACCCUCAGAAAUUCCUCCAUUCACUGCAGAGGUUCUGUUUCUCCUUGCUUUGUUCUGACUUUACGGCAGAACUAAGCUAAUGAGUUAGUUACUAUGGGUUAUCACUUGGAUUUGAAGAACCAUCAUUUCUAGGCAUUGCUGCUCAGAGUGACCUUGCCAUCGUAUCCCCUUUUGGAGACACAAGCCAGGAAGGAAGCUCUUCAGUGCAGCUGUGAAUAGAGAAAUGCUGGCUGAGGUUUUGGAGACACUGGGUGAUCAUUCCCAGUGAAAUUUUUAGAUCCCUGGGGACAUGAGCUGCUUUGUCUUUUCCAAGGCUGAAAAAGUUUUGGAAGCCCUCCUAAGCAGGUGCCAGACCCUUUUUUGGCCAGAGACAGGAUCUUACGCUGUUGCCCAGGCUGGAGUGCAAUAGUGUCAUCAUGGCUCACUGUAGCCUGGAACUGCUGGGCUCAAGGGAUCCUCCCAGCUCAGCCUCCCAAGUAGCUAGGAGUAAAGUCUGGAGAACACUUUUUCUUUUGAGCUGUUUACAACCUUUAGCAAUUGAGUAGAGUGUACUCUUGUCAAUAGAAUUUGAAGCACAUUUCUCUCUCUGCCUGAUUUCUGUAGAAUUUGUAAACUAUUUGUGAAUAUUCUUAAUUUAUGGCAAUAUGGUUGCUUACAUAAGUUCAAUAAUAAUCUGUUUUCUUUUACAAUGAGACACAGUUGGAGGAACUGGUUAUUUUCCCAGGGCUUUGACUGAAAUGGCCUUGUGAAUGGUUCCAGGAAAGCCAAUUUUGGAGACCCUAUGUGGAUGAUGAUGCUUGCUGUACUUUCUGUGGGUAAUCGGGCCAAGUAUAUGGGACUGAAGCUAAUUUUGCAGGUGAGAAAAUGGAGGUCCAGAGAGAAAAGUGACUCACCCAAGCUGAAAACAGUUGCAGGAAGAAAAGCCAGGACAGAACUGGGCUGUUAGAAACCUUGGAGUACACUAAAGAUGAGGAACUGAGUCACCGCAAUGCCAAAUGUAACACGCUGUGGGUCAAAAUUUGGAUGGUUGCGUUGGAAAUUAUUCUGAAGCCACAGACAGGGCUAAAAGAGUCUAGAAUGUCCUACUAGCUGUUGGAACCUGCUGGAGUUCUAAAGGCAUGCGAUGUCCUGAAUGUGCUUGACCAAUGGACACAGCAGGUAUUUGAAGAGUUUUGAUGCUUCCUUUCUGUUUUCAGUGCUAUUUUUUUGCUUUAUUUCUUUUAAAAAACUUUCCCCACAGAGGCUAUUUAUUACACAGCAGCAGCCAGCAUGCACCAAGCAGAACUGCUUUUCAUAAUAAACCUAUUUAUCUUCUGGCAUGUCAGAAAUUUCUCAAAUUGAUACUUAUAAUAAAUAUGAUUAAUAACACAUUGUA